CAUGUUUCAUGCUUUUAUGGUCGUGUAUACACCAAUCCGCCGCGAACUCUAUGGUUGCCGCCAUCUUGACUGCCGCCAUUACUGCGUGCCUGCAGAGUGUGACAGUAGCCGGUGCCCUCUAGUGGCAUUUCAAUUAAAGCGGAUCCUGCUCAUGAAAGAAAAUGACAGGUGAAAGAGAACAUUGGGUAGAUGAUGUCAGGCAGUGGCCAAAAAUUACUGAUGAAGGUAAUUUAUUGACAACAUAAUGUAUUAGACAUGUACCCUACAACAAGGAGUGGACAAUGAACAAAAUCUGCCACCUGAAGAGGGUGUACUUUCAGCAUCUGCUACCAGCAGUAGCAACAAGAAUUGCACACGGGGUCAUGACAAUUUGUGGACUGAAGUAGCUAUUACACUUUAAUGAGCUUUCCAAUUACAACUUAGCGGUAAUACACAUAUCAAGAGUUCAACAUUUGUUCACAGUUUACAACUGCACAUUUUAACUAUAUGCAUUGCAUUGUUAUGGCAACUAAAUACACAUCUGAAAUGUUUAACAUUUGUUCACUGUUUACAAAGGUACAUUGUAACCAUUUACAAUUGCUGUCUGAAAUUGUUAGUUUGUUAGAUUUUUCUGUUGAAAUACAAAAUUAAUUAAUGCAAUGAAA